CCUACGGGAGGCAGCAGUGGGGAAUAUUGCACAAUGGGGGCAACCCUGAUGCAGCGACGCCGCGUGAGUGAAGAAGUAUCUCGGUAUGUAAAGCUCUAUUAGCAGGGAGGAAAAUGACGGUACCUGACUAAGAAGCCCCGGCUAACUACGUGACAGCAGGCGCGGUACUACGUAGGGGGCAAGCGUUAUCCGGAUUUACUGGGUGUAAGGGGAGCGUAGACGGCGCUGCAAGUCCGGAGUGAAAGCCCAUGGCUGAACCAUGGUACUGCUCUGGAAACUGUGGGGCUUGAGUGCGGGAGGGGCAGGCGGAAUGUCUGGUGUAGCGGUGAAAUGCGUAGAGAUUAGGAGGAACACCGGCGGCGAAGGCGGCCUGCUGGACCGUAACUGACGUUGAGGCUCGAAAGCGUGGGGAGCAAACAGGAUUAGAUACCCGUGUAGUC
rnacentral:rRNA from 1 species